UUGGAGGGCAAGUCUGGUGCCAGCAGCCGCGGUAAUUCCAGCUCCAAUAGCGUAUAUUAAAGUUGUUGCAGUUAAAAAGCUCGUAGUUGAAUUUCGGGAUCAAUUUAUUGGUCGUGCUAUUGUACGUACUGGUAUUAUUGAUUCCUACCUUCUGACGAACCAUGAUGUCAUUAAUUUGGUGUCUUGGGGAAUCAGGACUGUUACUUUGAAAAAAUUAGAGUGUUUAAAGCAGGCUCACGCUUGAAUACAUUAGCAUGGAAUAACGAAAUAGGACGUUUGAUUCUAUUUUGUUGGUUUCUAGGAUCGACGUAAUGAUUAAUAGGGAUAGUUGGGGGCAUUAGUAUUCAAUUGUCAGAGGUGAAAUUCUUGGAUUUAUUGAAGACUAACUACUGCGAAAGCAUUUGCCAAGGAUGUUUUCAUUAAUCAAGAACGAAAGUUAGGGGAUCGAAGACGAUCAGAUACCGUCGUAGUCUUAACCAUAAACUAUGCCGACUAGGGAUCGGAUGAUGUUGAUUUUUUAAUGACUCAUUCGGCGCCUUACGGGAAAC
rnacentral:rRNA from 1 species